CAGAAGGUGGUUGCUAUGGAGAGCAUUUAUGUUCGAAAUAUAUAUUUAUGUUUGCGUGUGUUUAUGUUUGAAAAAAGCGAAUCCUAAACCACCAUUUCAACUUCAAACUUUGGAGAAGAAAGUUCAUCGUUGAUUUCUGAAAGAUUUCUCAAAGAUUUCUCGACAACCUCAAAUGGACCGAAGAUCACCAAGCCACCUCCCUGCCCGUGUCGCAAAUGUCUUCGAACACCACAGAAACCAUGAUGUAUUUUUCCACCUUGGUCUUUGCCAUGCUCUGGGUUAUCAAGGGAGCAGGAGAGCAGCUCCAGACACCCCAGGGAGCCUCCACUCCGUGUGAGCACUGCUGGCCCCACAGAGCGGCGCCCCAACCCCC